GACGAACGCUGGCGGCGUGCUUAACACAUGCAAGUCGAACGGAAUGGCCCUGCUUUUGUGGGGUGCUCGAGUGGCGAACGGGUGAGUAACACGUGAGUAACCUGCCCUUGACUUUGGGAUAACUUCAGGAAACUGGGGCUAAUACCGUAUAGGAUCUCCUGCUGCAUGGUGGGGGUUGGAAAGUUUCGGCGGUUGGGGAUGGACUCGCGGCUUAUCAGCUUGUUGGUGGGGGAGUGGCUUACCAAGGCUUUGACGGGUAGCCGGCCUGAGAGGGUGACCGGGCACAAUGGGACUGAGGUACGGACCAGACUCCUACGGGAGGCAGCAGUGGGGAAUAUUGCACAAUGGUAGGAAGUGUGAUGCAGAAACGCCGCGUGCGGGAUGACGGCCUUUGGGUUGUAAAACGCUUUCGCCUGUGACGAAGCGUGAGUGACGGUAAUGGGUAAAGAAGCACCGGCUAACUACGUG
rnacentral:rRNA from 1 species